rnacentral:lncRNA from 1 species
CACACUUCUCAUUGGCCAGGAAAAUUAAAUGCAUGUCAACACUGAAGAAAACAGAUCUUGGUUAAAAGCAAUGAUGUAGCUAAUAUCCCGUUCAGGUGUGGGUGUCAUUGUGACUGGCUGCUACCUCCCCAUGAGUCUUCUAAAAUAAAACCUGCAAAUUCACAUCUUCCCCAUGCUUCCAGAGAAUGCAUAUUCUUCCUUUGAAAAAAGAAAACCAGGUAGUCGUACAGUGUCCAGAAGGCAAAAGGACAAGUAUGCACUGCCCUACUUACCUACUUUCCACACUGCUGCACAGGAAAAUCUGACAGAGGACAAUAACAAACAUCUCACCAG